CUGUGUUGCCUAGGCUGGUGUCAAGUGCUUGAGCUCAAGUGACCCUCCUGCCUUGGCUUCCCAAAGUGUUAGGAUUACAGGCAUGAAGCCACUGCGCCUGGCCUGUCUAAUCUUUAUUAUGCUUCCCCUCUUUAGAGAUACUUAGUCUGUUUUUCAGAACUAAACCAAUCUGGAACUCCCUGGCUCUCUCUCCUAAAACUCUGAAGUCUAGAGGACCCUGUCUCCUGAGGGCUCUAAGAAAAGCUGUCCAGCUAGCUGUGUCAGUUUGAGAAGCAGUUUUUCCUGAUUGAAUACCUAGGCCCCAGUAGGAAAAAGGGAACAAACUGAAAUUGCUAAUUUGUAAGCCUGGUCUUUUGAGCAGCUCAGUUAAAAUGCUUGACAGAGGACUUAAGUGAAAGGCUAGAGUGGGCUUGGGGUUCAUUUAUCAUCAAAGCCC
rnacentral:lncRNA from 10 species